rnacentral:rRNA from 1 species
CCUACGGGAGGCAGCAGUGAGGAAUAUUGGACAAUGGGCGCAAGCCUGAUCCAGCCAUGCCGCGUGCAGGAAGAAGCAUCUAUGGUGUGUAAACUGCUUUUGUACAGGAAGAAACACUCCCUCGUGAGGGAGCUUGACGGUACUGUAAGAAUAAGGACCGGCUAACUCCGUGCCAGCAGCCGCGGUAAUACGGAGGGUCCGAGCGUUAUCCGGAAUCAUUGGGUUUAAAGGGUCCGUAGGCGGUUUAAUAAGUCAGUGGUGAAAUCUGGUCGCUCAACGAUCAAACGGCCAUUGAUACUGUUAGACUUGAAUUAUAAGGAAGUAACUAGAAUAUGUAGUGUAGCGGUGAAAUGCUUAGAUAUUACAUGGAAUACCAAUUGCGAAGGCAGGUUACUACUUAUGGAUUGACGCUGAUGGACGAAAGCGUGGGGAGCGAACAGGAUUAGAUACCCUGGUAGUCCACGCCGUAAACGAUGGAUACUAGCUGUUCGGAGCAAUCUGAGUGGCUAAGCGAAAGUGAUAAGUAUCCCACCUGGGGAGUACGUUCGCAAGAAUGAAACUCAAAGGAUUGACCGGNNGAGAGAGCGAGACGACGACGAGGGAGGAGG